UACGGAGGGUGCGAGCGUUGUCCGGAAUCACUGGGCGUAAAGGGCGCGUAGGCGGCUCAUGAAGGCUGUGGUGAAAGUCCGGGGCUCAACCUCGGAUCGGCCGUGGCGACUCGUGGGCUGGAGCACUGUAGAGGCGGGUGGAAUUCCGGGUGUAGCGGUGGAAUGCGUAGAGAUCCGGAAGAACACCAAUUGCGAAGGCAGCUCACUACCCAGAUAUUGACACUGAGGCACGAAAGCGUGGGGAUCAAACAGG
rnacentral:rRNA from 1 species